CAGAGCGUGAGACUCUGCCCAGGCGUGCCCUGCGCGCAGAGUUGACCCUCCACCCGUGUGAACGUAUCUCUUGUUGCUUUGGCGGACCGGCUUUCGAGCCACCCGCGUCGCGUGGGAGCGCGUCCGCCGAAGACCCCCCUAACUCAUGUUGUUGUGUCGUCUGAGCAAACAAACUAUUGAAUUGUUA
rnacentral:misc_RNA from 2 species